rnacentral:rRNA from 1 species
UACGGAGGAUCCAAGCGUUAUCCGGAUUUAUUGGGUUUAAAGGGUGCGUAGGCGGUUUGGUAAGUCAGUGGUGAAAGUUUGCGGCUCAACCGUAAAAUUGCCAUUGAUACUGUCAAACUUGAGUACGAGUGAGGUUGGCGGAAUGCGCGGUGUAGCGGUGAAAUGCAUAGAUAUCGCGCAGAACACCGAUUGCGAAGGCAGCUGACCAACUCGAAACUGACGCUGAGGCACGACAGCGUGGGGAGCAAACAGGAUUGGCUACCCUGGUAGUCCACGCCGUAAACGAUGAGUGCUCGCUGCUGGGUUUUAGGACUCAGUGGUCAAGCGAAAGCGUUAAGCACUCCACCUGGGGAGUACGGCCGCAAGGCUGAA